rnacentral:lncRNA from 1 species
UCUGUUUCCAUGGUUGCUCCAAGUUAUUCAUGUGCAUUGAUUGUAUAUAUAUGGAUUCGUUUGCUUUCACAUCUAUCUCUAAUGUUCUUGCUACAACAUAAAACUUGUUCCACAACGAGAUCGUCAGAUCCAUCAGCUUACAACUUUAAUAGCCGCAAUAUAAUUUAUAUUACAUGAAUCAGAUCACAAUGACUUCAACAGAGGAACAGGCUGCAAACUAGGAAGAAGAGGAAGCAGCUUGAGUACUCGGG